GAAUUGCUAGUAAUGGCAGGUCAGCAUACUGCCGUGAAUACGUUCCCGGGCCCUUGUACACACCGCCCGUCACACCAUGAGAGUUGGGAAUACCCGAAGCCUGUGAGCUAACUUAUAGAGGCAGCAGUCGAAGGUAGAAUCAAUGAUUGGGGUGAAGUCGUAACAAGGUAAC
rnacentral:rRNA from 1 species